rnacentral:rRNA from 1 species
GACGAACGCUGGCGGCGUGCUUAACACAUGCAAGUCGAACGGAAAGGCCUGUCCUUCCUUGUGUUGGACGGGUACUCGAGUGGCGAACGGGUGAGUAACACGUGAGUGAUCUGCCCCCAACUUGGGUAUAAGCCUGGGAAACUGGGUCUAAUUCCCGAUAGGACUGCAGGGUGGUGCCUGUGUUGGAAAACGAUUUUCUAGUGGUUGGGGAUGUGCUCGCGGCCUAUCAGCUUGUUGGUGGGGUAAUGGCCUACCAAGGCGGCGACGGGUAGCCGGCCUGAGAGGGUGGACGGCCAGAUUGGGACUGAGAUACGGCCCAGUCUCCUACGGGAGGCAGCAGUGGGGAAUAAUGCACAAUGGGCGGAAGCCUGAUGCAGCGACGCCGCGUGGGGGAUGACGGCCUUCGGGUUGUAAACUCCUUUCGACCGCGAGGAAGCCGCCUGGUUGGAAGGGUGGUGACGGUAGUGGUAGAAGAAGCACCGGCUAACUACGUG